rnacentral:rRNA from 1 species
UGCGAGACCUACAAGUCGAGCAGGGUCGAAAGACGGACUUAGUGAUCCGGUGGUUCCGCAUGGAAGGGCCAUCGCUCAACGGAUAAAAGCUACCCCGGGGAUAACAGGCUUAUCUCCCCCAAGAGUUCACAUCGACGGGGAGGUUUGGCACCUCGAUGUCGGCUCAUCGCAUCCUGGGGCUGUAGUCGGUCCCAAGGGUUGGGCUGUUCGCCCAUUAAAGCGGUACGCGAGCUGGGUUCAGAACGUCGUGAGACAGUUCGGUCCCUAUCCGUCGUGGGCGUAGGAAAUUUGAGAGGAGCUGUCCUUAGUACGAGAGGACCGGGAUGGACAUACCUCUGGUGUACCAGUUGUCGUGCCAACGGCAUAGCUGGGUAGCUAUGUGUGGACGGGAUAAGUGCUGAAAGCAUCUAAGCAUGAAGCCCCCCUCAAGAUGAGAUUUCCCAACUUCGGUUAUAAGAUCCCUCAAA